AAAAUAAAGGAAAAUAAAUGGAUUAGGGAAAAAUCAAGAAGAAUGAAAAGAAGAGAAAGAUGGAAAAACUCAGAGAAUUUCGGCAAGAGGAGAGGGAGAAGAAUAGACGGCAAAAUUUUUUUGGAAAAGAGAGUCAAAAUUCGGUUAUGGGAAAAAAAUAAAAUAAAAUCUCAAUAACCCCGAAAAUCCCUUAAUCUUCUCCCCUAAUUCCCACUACACAUCCACUACUCAGAAUCCCCCUAUUGCACAACUCUAUCCUGAAAUCUAAGCAAAAAAAAAAAAAUCCCCUUCCCUGAAAUCAAAUAAAAGCCUACUGAACAAGAGUAAGACCUAAUUCAUUCAAAAUACCAAAAUUUUCCCAAUCGAAGGCUUGAACUUGGGACCUCCCAAACACUCCCAG
rnacentral:lncRNA from 1 species